rnacentral:rRNA from 1 species
UACGGAGGGGGCUAGCGUUAUUCGGAAUUAUUGGGCGUAAAGGGCGCGUAGGCGGCCCGGUAAGUCAAAGGUGAAAUCCCUCGGCUCAACUGAGGAACUGCCUUUGAUACUGCAAAUCUCGAGUCCGGAAGAGGUGAGUGGAAUUCCUAGUGUAGAGGUGAAAUUCGUAGAUAUUCGCAAGAACACCAGUGGCGAAGGCGGCUCACUGGCCCGGUACUGACGCUGAGGUGCGAAAGCGUGGGGAGCAAACAGG